GCGGGGAUAGCUCAGUUGGAGAGCGUUAGACUGAAGUCACGUGUUCGAUCCACGUUCACCGCC
rnacentral:tRNA from 1 species